CUGAUCCAAUUGGCGCUGAGUCGACUCCAAGCGCUCACAAUUCAAAUUGAUUUUUGUUUACAGUCCGUUGUUGACUUUCUGACGCGUUCACCGCUACCUGGAGUUCAUCACGUUCAUUUCGCUUGCGCGAGCAGCGCAGUAGCAGCUGCCGAAGAACGUGACCACGUAGUGCCAACGUAGAGGCAAGUAGUCAGCAGCAGCGAUAGAAGUGGUAGUUGACGUUGACGUUGAAGCAGGAGCAACAAGCAGCCAACAACAGUUUGGUGUUUGCAGGGAAUGAAUUGCUGCACAUAACACUACAACAUCGCGUCACUGGCGGUUGCGUAGCGCGGAUUGUCGCAUUCAUUUGAACUUUAUUUUCAGCUCGUGUUCGUAUUUUUACGUCGAUAAAAGUGCAUGCUAUAAAAGUGAUCUAAUGAUUGAAGUGAUUCAUUAUACAUACAUAUAUAUGUAUGUACACUAAAAGUAAAAAAUAUAGCAUACAGUGAAGAUUGCAAAAAACUAAAUAUUACAUUAAAGUGGAGUGUUUUUAUUAAAAAAAUACAUAAUUUGAUUUGAAUUUCAUCGGCAAACAUUUAUUGCAUUCCUUGAUACAUCAACAUACAUACAUAUAUACUCAACAAUGGAUAACAGACCGCAAAAAACUUUGGAGCUAGAAAGGUAAAUUGCAAAAGCUUUUAACGGUGCAGACGGUAAGACGAUUGUUGCUCGGAGUAUGCAAGUUAAGAUUCAAGAAAAUUUAAAUUGUAAAAUCCUAAAGAAAAAAUUUACUAACUAAUGAA